AUUUCCAAUAGUCACAGGUACCUUCUAAUAGUCAACAGGUCCAACAUUAUAAUAGUCAAAGAUCAACAGAGUCAACAUUAUAAUAGUCAACAGGUCAACAUUUAAAUAGUCAAUAGAGUCAACAGGCCCCCAUUUAUAGUCACAUAGGAGUCAACAGGUCAACACUCUUAUAGUCAACAGGCCAACCCUCUUAUAGUCCAAACAGGUCACCACUGUACAUAUUCAACAGGUCAACACUCUUAUGUCUACAGGUGAUC
rnacentral:lncRNA from 1 species